rnacentral:rRNA from 1 species
GAUGAACGCUAGCGGCAGGCUUAACACAUGCAAGUCGAGGGGUAGGUUACUUCGGUAAUUGAGACCGGCGCACGGGUGCGUAACGCGUAUACAAUCUACCUUUUACAGAGGGAUAGCCCAGAGAAAUUUGGAUUAAUACCUCAUAGUAUUUUUGAAUCGCAUGAUUUGAUUAUUAAAGUUCCAACGGUAAAAGAUGAGUAUGCGUCCCAUUAGCUAGAUGGUAAGGUAACGGCUUACCAUGGCAAUGAUGGGUAGGGGUCCUGAGAGGGAGAUCCCCCCACACUGGUACUGAGACACGGACCAGACUCCUACGGGAGGCAGCAGUGAGGAAUAUUGGACAAUGGGCGCAAGCCUGAUCCAGCCAUGCCGCGUGCAGGAAUAAGGUCCUAUGGAUUGUAAACUGCUUUAUACAGGAAGAAACACACCCUCGUGAGGGUACUUGACGGUACUGUAUGAUAAAGGACCGGCUAACUCCGUGCCAGCAGCCGCGGUAAUGUG